UACGGGAGGCAGCAGUGGACAAUUUUGGGCAAUGGGCGAAAGCCUGAGGCAGCAGUGCCGCGUGAGGGAUGAAGGUCCUAGGGUUGUAAACCUCCCUACGCCGGGAAGAAGACUCUACGGGAGGUAGCAGUAUUUGAUGACGGUAGCAGCCGAGUAAGAGCCGGCUAACUCCGUGCCAGCAGCCGCGGUAAUA
rnacentral:rRNA from 1 species